UCUGAGCCAGAGAAAAAAGCUGGAAUCCAUUUGCCCUGAUAUUUCACCAGCACCAGCCAGGAGCGAGGGGAGAGGGAAAAGACAGAGGGAGAGGAAAGGAGAGAAAGAGAAGAGUGAGAGAGAGAGGGAGAGAGAGUGAGGGUGUGUGUGGGGGGGUGUAGAGACUGGGGCAGAGAAAAAGGGAUAGAUGGGAAAAACGGCAGACCAGGGCUGCAUUUGGUGGGGGUGUGAGUGCCAUGCUGUAGGCUGUGGGACAGUCAGGACAGUGCAAGGUGUUGCUACUGCUAGGUGUGAUUUGGUUUACAGAAAGGGAAGAGCAUGCAUAGAUAAUGGUGGAGGUAAAAAAAAAAAGAGGGGGGAGAGAUGGAAGGAUUGGUCAUGCGCAAGAAGUUGGUGUCAUGCCAAGAACAGAGCUGUUAUUUCCCACGAAUCUUCAAUAUGAUAAAGACCGCAGGCCGUUGGAGGCAGCUUAGAAAUCUCUUACAUCUGGAGCAGCCGUAAUUCGUGGGACUUGGCCUGACAGCCAUGACAGUCAUCGGGGCGACCGACAACAACUGUCUCCUGUGUUAGCGGCUGCAGUGCAUAUGUAGCUUUCUUGCACAACAACUUAAUCUGAUCGGUUUCCUCCAAAAUAAACAAAAGUAAGAUCUACUGCCUCCCAGCACAGUUUGAUGACCAGGACACAUUCUGCCUCCCAAUAUUCCCCAGCUAAGUCAAGCUCCAGUCACACUACACCCAACACAUGACAGUGGAUAUGGGAAAGAUGGAUUUGUAAAUUCAAUUUCUCUCUAUUAAAGGACAGAAACUUGCUCUACUAAUCUGGCUGAACAUUAAACUGCAAAGAUUAUUCCGGGAUAAUACCGUAUGCGUCCAGUACAAGCGAGCUCAAAGCUCCAGCUCUUCUGUUCACAGUAACACGACGACAAACUGAUACGCAGCAGACAAAUUGUCAGUUUGUUUUAUGGUGGGCCAGGGACACCCCGCCACAGCUCGUCAUGCUGCACACAGACAGUAGCGAUCGUUUGCAGGUCCAAAAUCCCACAUUCCACAUUCCUGAUUCCAACAGCUCGCCUGCUAAGCUGGUCUCCAUAUGAAGAGCCAUUGUUAGAGUGAGAGGGUCAUGUAUCGCUCCCUCUCUCUGUCUGUCUCCUGCUCUGUCUUUCGGCCUUCCUCUAUUACUGUCAGACAUUAUCUGUGACUUUUGCUCUGUGUAUCCUCCACAUUUCACUCUCCUGGCCUGGUUUUCCCCACUAUCUUGCACGAGUUUGUAUAUUUCCUGCUUUGCUUCGCUCAAGCCGUCGUGUCCCAGUCGUGCUGUUUUUUGUCUGUGGCUCUGCUUUUCUGCAAGACUCUCACUUUGCUUUCUGCCCGUUUUUCCUUUGUGUCUGUCUCCUCCUGUAUCCCGCUGUCUGUCUCUCCAUCUCCCGUUCCCUCUGCGUCUCCAGAUAUUCAUGGAGAGAUUUUCUCACAUGUUGGAUAUAGAUUUAUGACCCCAGCAAGAUCCCCGUGGCCACUAAAUUUGAUACCAUUCUCUAAGCCACAUUGUUUUUUUUUUGUGUGUGUGUCCUGGCUUGUCUGUUGUGCGCGAUUGUGCGUAAGUCUGUGUGUGCAUGUCUGGGUAAGUGUGUUCAUGCAUUACAAGGUGGAGGCGGGUGACUUUUAAAGGGUUAGCUUGGGUAUGGUGGGUGCAGAGGAGGAAUUUACAGUUUAUUGAAGCACAGCAGUCAGGUAUGUGUGCGAGUGUGCACAUCGGGAUGUCGGUGAGUGUGCGUGUGUGUGUGUGAUAAAGAAAAAGAAGGAAAGAGAGAGAGAGAGAGAGAGAGAGAGGGAGAGAGAGAGAGGGGAGAGAGAGAGAGGGAGAGAGAGAGAGCGCCUGUGGGUGCCAGGUGACCAGGCUAACCUCUUGGCUGGUGUUUUGGAUUUAGCCUUUGGAUAGCAAAGCAAAAUAAAAACGGAAUGCUUUUUCAAUUACAGAUCAGAGAGAGAGUGAACAAAGGCAGGAGAACAGGGAAAAAGUUAUUGGGAUCUAAUAUAUCAGAAGCUUUGUGCCUCUAAAAUCUAAGUGCUUUAAUUUUGACAGCCAGAACAUUUUGUUCUUGAAUAUUUAUAGUUCACAAGGGUCGCAUAAUUUUUACUCAAUUUUUCUAAGUAAUUUCUCUUGUAAAAGCUUUUCAUUUUAGAAAAUUCCUGCACGCCUUCUGUUUUGCGGAAAUUGCAGAUUUCUAUUUUUUUUGGGGGGCUUUUUUUGCACUCCCAAGUAUGAAGAGUUGUACAUUUGACUUUGCAAAAUUGAGCAACUACCUCCGUUUUAAAACUCACAAAAACGAGCUGCAAAAAUAGAAGAUGGCUGAAACAGAAUACAAAGUUACACAGAGACACAUCUGUGGAAGACAGCCAUUUACUGUGUUUUUAUGUUGUCUUAUUAAUUCUGACAGUAAAGGCACCUGAACUCUCCCGUGCAUAUUUUAUUGGCUGUAGGUGGUAUUUGUUGUGUAUUUAUGUCUUUUUUUGUUUGAAUACUCUGUUCCUUCAACUUAUUCCACAAGUUGUCGAGGGCGGGGUAUUUCAAAAUGGCAUUGUAGAGUGCAUAGGAUUGUAAUGUGCUUGUGUGUGAUGUGAAAAGAAAUGCUUCUCGCUUUUGAUGUUUGGCUGAGAGGAACGGCACAAAAAUAAAAGCCUUGGAAAAUAAAGGAAUGUUUUUGCAGGCUCGAGAGUGUGCGAUCCCCUAAAAUUGUUUAUCUGUCAGUCAGGCGGCAUGCGCGCGCCGACUGCGCUCAAACAUGUGUUGGAGUGAAGGCGUGUGUGUGCGUGUGCGGGAGUGUGUGUCCACGCCUACAUCUAAAAGCCGUAUCUGGCUUCAGAUCAAAUGGUGUAUGAAGUAGGGGAAUGACACAGAGAGAAAAGUGAUAGCUCUUUAAUGUUACCUAUCCACUCUCAAACCCAAAUAUAAGACCAGGAACAUACGGAAUAGAGAAGUGUGUUUUAGAAGAAAAGGAGUGACAUGAAACACUUAUGUCGAAAAGCUCUGAACAUGACUUGGGCUUUGUAGCGAGGGGGAAGAAGAUGUCUUGCAGAAAAAAAAAAUAAAAAAAAGAAAAGAAAGAAAGAAUAAAUUGGAUUGAGAGAAGAGUUGAUAUGGGGCGAAGAAUUAAACAAUGACAUGCACUUUUAUAGUUUGUGUAUGUUAGGGUACAGUCGUGUUUCGUAUCGUGUCUAACUUGUGUUUUGUUUCUUUUCUCGCUCUGCUCACUCUAAACUUUUCACUGUCAUUGGGUCUGAGCCAGAUGUUAUCACAGAGGCUGCAUUUGUGUCUAUAAAUUGCUGCAGUGUUAAGGAUUUGAACAUUUAAUAAUCUUCAGAAAGAAAUGUCUAAUUUAACAUCUGUUGUUGAAUUCACCUUGACCAUUCCUAUUCCUUGAUUUUUGUUUCUCCCUGCAGGUCUGAAGCACAAGCAGAAAUGGAUCAAAUUUUUUAAUCUUUCCAAAAUCACUUUUGUGUCUCUGUUGUACAUUUUAGCAAUUAAUUCUACAUGAUUUGUUUCUUGUAAUGCUGACAAGUUCAGAUAAACUACAU